AUUGAACGCUGGCGGCAGGCUUAACACAUGCAAGUCGAACGAGUGGCGGACGGGUGAGUAAUGUCUGGGACACUGCCUGAUGGAGGGGGAUAACUACUGGAAACGGAAGCUAAUACCGCAUACCAUCAAAUGUGCCCAGAUGGGAUUAGCUAGUUGGUGGGGUAACGGCUCACCAAGGCGACGAUCCCUAGCUGGUCUGAGAGGAUGACCAGCAAAACGGGAACUGAGCAACGGUCCAGACUCCUACGGGAGGCAGCAGUGGGGAAUAUUGCACAAUGGGCGCAAGCCUGAUGCAGCCAUGCCGCGUGUGUGAAGAAGGCCUUCGGGUUGUAAAGUACUUUCAGCGGGGAGGCGUUACUCGCAGAAGAAGCACCGGCUAACUCCGUGCCAGCAGCCGCGGUAAUUC
rnacentral:rRNA from 1 species